CGGAUCGGAGUCUGCAACCCGACUCCGUGAAGCUGGAUUCGCUAGUAAUCGCGCAUCAGCCAUGGCGCGGUGAAUACGUUCCCGGGCCUUGUACACACCGCCCGUCAAGCCAUGGGAGCCGGGAGUGCUUGAAGUGCGUGACCGUAAAAGGAGCGCCCUAGGGCAAGACCGGUGACUGGGGCUAAGUCGUAACAAGGUACC
rnacentral:rRNA from 1 species